GAAUUAAGAUAUCCGGGAUAAAUGACUCAGCUGAGCUCAAUGAAGCCAAAACAUGUGCGUCCAGGCUUAAUUGGUUGCACAAAGACCAAGCCAGGAUGAGCAGACACGGAUUCAUUAAGCCAGGUGAAACCAAUCCUGGAUAGGUGCGCGCUCACGGCUCACUCAAAUAGACCCCGCCACAGAUCACAGAUUAACUGAUUUACCAUGGCAACUAGAGCCGCGUACUUUUCCCCGUCGGAAGCACAAAUCCUCAUGGAGGCAUACGAGGAGGUAAAAGAUAUAAUUAAGAAGAAAGGCAACACCGCCACAGUGAUAAAGCAAAGAAAAAGCGUGGCAAAGUAUUGCAGACCGCCUGAAUGCGUAAGUAGUGCACAAUUACACACUCACCGCUCCGCUGAAACAUCACAAUUACAAUUCAAAUAUUUAAUUCACAUCUCCAAAAAUGCAGUUGUACUGUAAUUAUGAAACGGUUACAUUUUUAAUUGAAAUGCACUGCAGAUAUGAGUGAAAUUGUGUAAAGUAACUCCAUCACACUGUAUAAAGCUAUGAUAAAUUUUUUGAUAUUUUUUACUGAAAACAAGACAAAAAUACCAAGUAAUUUUUUGCAGUGUGACUCCAUUAAAUGUGUGUGUGUGUGUGUGUGUGUGUGUGUGUGUGUGUGUGUGUGUGUGUGUGUGUGUAGAUUAAACAUGAACGGGCCAAAAUGGACAUGGCAGCAGGUCAAAAUCAAAUACAAGAACAUUCUGCAGAAUGCAGUGAAAAAGAAUACCCACAGACAAGGCACGGGUGGUGGGUCACCAAAGGCUGACCUUACCCCAGCAGAGGACAUGGCCUUGGAGCUAAAUAAAGGCAGGCCCGUCUUAGAGGGGAUCCCUGGGGGGAAAGAGACGAGCAUAGGUUCCUCCCAAGAUGCCACCCGCUUCAUUCAAGUGCCUGGCAGCAUUGUGUUCCUGUUAGAGCCACCAGCACAAGCACCAGACGAUGCUGAUCCAGGUGAAGGCCCCAGUGCAGCAGCAACAGCACAUGAUGGAGACGAUGAUGAGGAGGAGACCAUCUCUCUGGAUUCCAGAAGGCAUGAGGACCCAGAUGCUAUACAGUGGGAAAACCAGCCUGGCAACAUAGUGCAUAUUAAUAAAAGGACACCACAUCCUGCCAAAUUCCAGCUGCGCUAAUUGUAUUGUGUUCAGAGCUCACAAGCUAUCAGAAAGUUGUAUGGCAACCACCUCCGGCGCCAAAUAGAACUGGCAGACAUAGACAUUCAGUACAAGAAGAAAAAGAUGGAAAAUCUUGCACUGGAGUCCGAAAUAAAAAAGAGGACAAUUAGGAAACUGGACCUUGAAAUAAAAAAACUUGAGAGGGAGCUCCAAGAAGAUGACACAGCUCAAAAUAAAAAUUAGGUAUAUUCUCGUAAAGUCAAGUGAGCCAUGACAUAUGAGCUCUUAUUGUGAGCACACAGGACGGUGGCAUCUUUCUAAGGUUUUUUUUAUUUUCCCAGCAAUCAGUACAACCAAGUCAUCGUUAUAAGGCAUCGCCCUCUUUUGCCCACCCCCCCAGCACCAGGUGUGGCCACUAGCCUAUAUGAAGGCCCAAAAUUGUGUGUUCCUUUCUGCUCUGACAAUGGCAUGCCCAUUCGUGCGAGAUGUGGUGGAUGAAGAAGCACUUGUGCUGAGGAGAGCCUUCAGGCGAGAAAGGGUCUUCAGGGCCGGUUGGACCCACUGGCCUUCCCUGAUGACCAUCUAUAUGAAAGAUACAGGUUUUCUGCAGAUGGCAUCAGGUAUCUAUGCAGACUACUGGGUCCCAGGAUUAAGCACCGCACUGCACGGAGCCAUGCACUGAGUGUGGAGCAAAUGGUUUGUGUGGCCUUGCGCUUUUUGCUAGUGGAGCCUUCCUG